rfam:Harpegnathos saltator strain R22 G/1 HarSal_1.0_1.contig3996, whole genome shotgun sequence.
CGUCAGGUAGCUCAGUGGGUUUAAAGCAGUCGCCCUGCAAGCGAGAGACCCGAGUUCAAUUCCCGGUCUAGGGA